rnacentral:lncRNA from 1 species
GGUAACAAGAUGUUAUUAAAUAUAAGGAUAAACUUCAUAUUUUGUCUUAGACGUCCUCGCUCUCAAACUUUAUAGUUGGAAAAUAUCCACACACCAUGACACCAAUGUGAUCCUGAUGGAAUUCUAUUACCCAAAAAGCAUAAAGGACUUUACAGAUGGAUGACAUCUACAAUAAUCUAAACAUGGGUUUAUAACUACUACGUUUGGGAAGGAUAAGGAUGGUAAUUCACAAAAUUAAUUAACUUAUAAUCAAGAACCAGUAGUGUAACAGCCAUGUUUUGCUGAGACAUGCAAGUAUGCAAUACCACACUGUAUAAUAAUAUUUUAGAGCCAAAACAGUAUCCACACACUAGUAACACUCGCAAGACCUUAUUUAUCCUUAGUAACACACCAUCUAUGGUAUUUCUGUGUAUGUGCCCUAGAAAAAACUCCAAAUUCAAUGAAAGGAUGAAGAUAUGGCAAGCCUGCAACAUAGUCCAUUUGAGUGUUCCUUCAAUGUAAAUGAGCAGAGAGGUAGUCCAAAACUGAUCCAGGAUCAUUUUUGCAAGCUCCUACUUGUAUUUGGUGAACAGUUAGUGAGAAAUUGUAUAAUAGGGGCUAAGGACACACAAAAUCCUGGAUUCAUAUUUACGCCCAAACUAUUUAAGAUAUUGGUAUAUAAACCCAGACAAUACCCAUUACUCAAUCAACUUGCUAGGCUAUUCAAAUCUAUCCACAAUUCUUCAAACGUCUAUAAUUUGUAAAAGGGAGACCAAGGAAUUCUGAUGCCAAUAAUCUCUCACUCUCUCUCUAAAUGGAUCCCAUCUUCAAUUCUAUGUUCGAAUAUUUUAAUUGUAAAGAUUUUUUUACCACAUAAACUCAGUUACUUAGAAGAAUCUGUCAACCAAAAAGAGACAGAAUCCAGCAGCUAGCAAAUAAAUGCUCCCAAAUUGCAAGUCAGCAAGCUUACCACUGCACAGGAAAAUAAUUAACCUUCACACAAGUAAAUCAAUAAAAUAAUUUAAUGUCAUAGCUAUUCACUAUGUUCACAAGUGUUAUAUUCAGCUUUCUAUUUGGAAAUAAAUCAACAAAAUAAAAAAUAAGAACAGAAAUAACAUGCAGUAUCUAAGAAAGUUGGAAUGAUGAUAAAUUUUAAAUUUAAGCAGUUUUAUUCCAACAUAAAGGUUAGACUAGUAUUGGAUAUUUGCCAUAGAAAAAGGUACAGAUUGAUUGGCAUUCCAGAAAAGAAUGUAUAUCUAGAUUCGAAAAAUAAAGCUUGAAGCUAGGAGUUUGCAAGAAAGCAUGAAGGCAUCUCUUCUUGUCAAGUUAAGGGAAUACAAAACUAAUUUGAACAACUUGAAAAGUGAACUUAAAAGAAUCACAUCGGCUGCUAAUAAUAAUGAUGAUGAGUUGUUGGAACUGGGAUAGGCUGAUACAUUAGCGGUUGGUAUCAUUCUUCUUGCUCUGUUUUGGGAGUUAAUUAGAUGAUGUAAUGAUGAUAGCAUGCAGGUAUCAUCAAAUGAUCACAAGGGAAGACUGGUGAUGUCUACAGAGAGAUUGAAUCAGUCGUCUAAAAGAAUAAAGGAGGGCAGGAGAAGCAUGCUGGAAACAGAGGAGCUUGGCGCCUCCAUCCUCCAAGAUUUGCAUCAACAACGCUAGUCACUACUUCAUGCCCACAACACGGUAACUUAAUUUCAUUUCAAGAUUUAGUACUAGUCACCAAAAUACUAACAAACCAUAUACGCAAUAUGUAAUGCAGCUUCAUGGAGUGGAUGAUAACAUCGAUAAAAGCAAGAAGAUUUUGACAGCCAUCUCAAGAAGGAUGAGUAGGAAUAAAUGGAUUCUUGGCUCCUUCAUGGCAGCCAUAGUCCUUGCAAUUAUACUUAUAACUUUUGACUAAUGAUAAACGCUAUCCAAUAAUCACAAAGUUAACACUUGACACGGCAAUUUCAAUAGCUAUAGCAAUAAUCCAAAACCCAAUGUUUUGUAAUUCUAGAAUAGAACAAACUAAAAGGGGUUUCAAUUUCAAACGAUCCACAUAAUGAAGAAGCAAUAACAGCAAAAAGGUGGGGGACUCACGCAAAAGGAGAAGGCUCAACAAAGAGAGCAAUUCGACGAGGCCUUGAAUUGUUCUCAGUGACCCUCUUCUCCUUCCUCCUCACGCAAUUCUCGUAGAGGACCAAACCUCUGACAUUAACAUCACACCAUAGUCUUAGAUCUUAAAAUAAAAUAGAACCAGAAUAAACAUGACCAUGAUUUCUAAAUUUAGAAAAUAGGAGAUUACGAUUAGGUCAUAGUUUCCACCUGAAAUAGGAAAUUUCCAAAUGAAACUGAAGUUGGCUCUAAAAAGAGUUCAGUAACAGUCAGAAAAAGAUACCUGGUUAUUGUAAGCUUGAUUGAGAGAGCAGAAAAGGACCAAAAUAGGAGGAGCGACGGCGGCAACAGAGAGAAGGAGCGAUGACAGCAGCGGAGCGACGGCGGCGCGAGCAAACAUAGUAACGGCAGCAACAGAGCGCAACGGCGGUGCGAGCAAACGGAGUGACGGCGGCGCAACCGUGACACCGACAGUGGAGAAUGAGGGUUGGUGAAUUUGGGGUAAAAUGAGGGUUUAUGAGAAAAUGAGGAAUUUGGGGUAAAAUUGUGUUUCUGAACUUAGAGGUGGGAAGUGGACACGGGGUUGUGUUUUUAAUUAGCAAUAAAAAUUG